GUGGGGAAUAUUGCACAAUGGGCGCAAGCCUGAUGCAGCCAUGCCGCGUGUGUGAAGAAGGCCUUCGGGUUGUAAAGCACUUUCAGCGAGGAGGAAGGUGGUGAACUUAAUACGUUCAUCAAUUGACGUUACUCGCAGAAGAAGCACCGGCUAACUCCGUGCCAGCAGCCGCGGUAAUACGGAGGGUGCAAGCGUUAAUCGGAAUUACUGGGCGUAAAGCGCACGCAGGCGGUUUGUUAAGUCAGAUGUGAAAUCCCCGGGCUCAACCUGGGAACUGCAUUUGAAACUGGCAAGCUAGAGUCUCGUAGAGGGGGGUAGAAUUCCAGGUGUAGCGGUGAAAUGCGUAGAGAUCUGGAGGAAUACCGGUGGCGAAGGCGGCCCCCUGGACGAAGACUGACGCUCAGGUGCGAAAGCGUGGGGAGCAA
rnacentral:rRNA from 1 species